GCUGGCUUUCCAGGCGGAGCCCCGGCGUCCAGAGCGUGGACGCCCUCCCUGCUCUUUACCUCCCCGCCUGCAGCAGGCAGACGUCCUUCCUCCUGGGGUCACAGGAUGGCGGUCCUGGCUGCAGUCAGGCCGACAUUCAGCGCCCAGGAGGGCAAGGGAGCCGCCGCCACCGUCCUCCCCGCCCUGGAACUGGCUUCGGACACGUAGACCCGUCACCAGGAGGGAAAUGAAGCCCAUCAGGGAAGAGGAGAUCAGGACACAGUCACGCAGAGGGACGGCCCGUGAGGACGUGAGGAGAAGUCUGCAAGCCAGGAAGGAACUGGCUCUGCUCACUCCUUGAAGUGGGACUUCCAGCCUCAGACCGUGAGAAAAUAAAUCCCUGUCACUUAA